rnacentral:tRNA from 1 species
GCCUGGGUUGCUCAGUGGUAGAGCUCCUGGCUAUAUAUACAGGGGGUCCCCGGUUCGAUUCCGGGUCCAGCCA